AUCCAGUACACAAUGAUGUUCAUUUUUCCAAGCACAUAUCUGAACGGUGUAUGUGGACAACAAUGAUUCUGAGUGAUCUGGAU